rnacentral:rRNA from 1 species
AUUGAACGCUGGCGGCAGGCUUAACACAUGCAAGUCGAGCGGAGAUGAGGUGCUUGCACCUUAUCUUAGCGGCGGACGGGUGAGUAAUGCUUAGGAAUCUGCCUAUUAGUGGGGGACAACAUUCCGAAAGGAAUGCUAAUACCGCAUACGUCCUACGGGAGAAAGCAGGGGAUCUUCGGACCUUGCGCUAAUAGAUGAGCCUAAGUCGGAUUAGCUAGGUGGUGGGGGAAAGGCCUAACAAGGCUACGAUCUGUAGCGGGUCUGAGAGGAUGAUCCGCCACACUGGGACUUAGACACGGCCCAGACUCCUACGGGAGGCAGCAGUGGGGAAUAUUGGACAAUGGGGGGAACCCUGAUCCAGCCAUGCCGCGUGUGUGAAGAAGGCCUUAUGGUUGUAAAGCACUUUAAGCGAGGAGGAGGCUACUGAGACUAAUACUCUUGGAUAGUGGACGUUACUCGCAGAAUAAGCACCGGCUAACUCUGUGCCAGCCGCCGCGGUAA